rnacentral:rRNA from 1 species
AUUGGGACUGAGACACGGCCCAAACUCCUACGGGAGGCAGCAGUAGGGAAUUUUCGUCAAUGGGGGGAACCCUGAACGAGCAAUGCCGCGUGAGUGAAGAAGGUCUUCGGAUCGUAAAGCUCUGUUGUAAGAGAAAAACGACAUUCAUAGGGAAUGAUGAGUGAGUGAUGGUAUCUUACCAGAAAGUCACGGCUAACUACGUGCCAGCAGCCGCGGUAAUACGUAGGUGGCGAGCGUUAUCCGGAAUGAUUGGGCGUAAAGGGUGCGUAGGUGGCAGAACAAGUCUGGAGUAAAAGGUAUGGGCUCAACCCGUACUGGCUCUGGAAACUGUUCAGCUAGAGAACAGAAGAGGACGGCGGAACUCCAUGUGUAGCGGUAAAAUGCGUAGAUAUAUGGAAGAACACCGGUGGCGAAGGCGGCCGUCUGGUCUGUUGCUGACACUGAAGCACGAAAGCGUGGGGAGCAAAUAGGAUUAGAUACCCUAGUAGUCCACGCCGUAAACGAUGAGAACUAGGUGUUGGGGGAAUAACUCAGUGCCGCAGUUAACGCAAUAAGUUCUCCGCCUGGGGAGUAUGCACGCAAGUGUGAAACUCAAAGGAAUUGACGGGGGCCCGCACAAGCGGUGGAGUAUGUGGUUUAAUUCGAAGCAACGCGAAGAACCUUACCAGGCCUUGACAUCCCUUGCAGAGGUAUAGAGAUAUAUCCGAGGUUAUCAAGGAGACAGGUGGUGCAUGGUUGUCGUCAGCUCGUGUCGUGAGAUGUUGGGUUAAGUCCCGCAACGAGCGCAACCCUUGUGAUAUGUUACUAACAUUGAGUUGAGAACUCAUAUCAGACUGCCGGUGAUAAACCGGAGGAAGGUGGGGAUGACGUCAAAUCAUCAUGCCCCUUAUGGCCUGGGCUACACACGUACUACAAUGGCGUCUACAAAGAGCGGCAAGCCUGUGAAGGCAAGCGAAUCUCAUAAAGGACGUCUCAGUUCGGAUUGAAGUCUGCAACCCGACUUCAUGAAGCUGGAAUCGCUAGUAAUCGCGAAUCAGCAUGUCGCGGUGAAUACGUUCUCGGGCCUUGUACACACCGCCCGUCAAACCAUGGGAGUUGGUAAUGCCCGAAGCCGGUGGCAUAACCUUUCGAGGAGUGAGCCGUCGAAGGCAGGACCGAUGACUGGGGUUAAGUCGUAACAAGGUAUCCCUACGGGAACGUGGGGAUG